rnacentral:rRNA from 1 species
ACUGGAGUUUGAUCUGGCUCAGAUUGAACGCUGGCGGAAUGCUUUACACAUGCAAGUCGAACGGUAGAGGGGGCAACCCCUUGAGAGUGGCGAACGGGUGAGUAAUAUAUCGGAACUUGCCCAGUCGUGGGGGAUAACGUAGCGAAAGUUACGCUAAUACCGCAUACGAUCUAAGGAUGAAAGCGGGGGAUCGCAAGAGCCUCGCGCGAUUGGAGCGGCCGAUAUCAGAUUAGCUAGUUGGUGGGGUAAAGGCCCACCAAGGCUACGAUCCAUAGCUGGUCUGAGAGGAUGACCAGCCACACU